rnacentral:tRNA from 1 species
CAAGAGAUAGUUUAUUUAAAAUAUUAGUUUUGGGAAUUAAUGAUAGGAGGUUUCUCCUUCUCUUGA